AAACCAGUUGAUUCUUGAUUAAUAAGAGACACCCUAAUAGAACCCAUUGGCAUUGGCUUGCUUCAUUCAAGAAGGAUGGGUCUAAACCAGUUGUGGGUGUCUGUGGUGAUGCUUUUAUUUUUACAAGGGGCAUGGUGCUGUGAUUGUUGUUGGGAGGAUGAGAGAAUUGCUCUGCUCAAGCUUAAAGCUUACUUCAAUUAUCCUAAUGGCAAUGCCAUGUCUUCUUGGGAGAAAAUUCCCAACUGUUUUUAUUGGGAAUAUGUUGCGUGCAGCCCCAUUACAAGGCGAGUAACAUCACUUUAUCCUUGGAGAGAUGGGAGAUUGGGAGAUUGGUAUCUCAAUACCUCCUUUUUUCUUCCAUUCAAAGAAUUAAAUGAUCUUUCCUUGGAGCAAAUUAACAUUCUGGGUUGUGUUAAGAAUGAAGGUUCAUCUCUUGCAUAGUAUUAGUUAUCUUGUAAAUUUCAGUUAAUUUUGUAAUUUAUUUGUUCUGACCGAAACUACUAGCUGGAACUCUUUUACAGGUUUUGAAAGAUUAUGGAGCCUUGGGAAUUUGGAGUCUCUUGAUUUAAGCUUCAACAAAUUCAACAACAGUAUCCUGCCAUCUUUAAGUGGUCUUUCAUCUUUAAAAUCAUUAACUCUAGACAACAAUAGACUGAAAGGAAAAAUUAAUAUUCAAGGCGAGUUCCACUUCCUCCCAUCCUUCUCUAAAGUGAAAUCAUAUUCUUCAAAACAUUUAUGUAUUUCAUUUUAUCAUUGCUUUUGUGUAGAAUUGAAUAAUCUAACAAGCUUGAAGGAGUUGAAUUUACAAGGCAAUGAAAUUGAAGGUUUAAAAUCCUCUCAUGGUUUGAGGAAUCUGGAGCUCCUUGAUCUGAGUUAUAAUCGCCUUAACAAUAGCAUGCUUUCAUCUCUCAAGAGACUUUCAUCUCUCAAAUCUCUGAACCUAGAAUAUAAUUUACUCGAAGGAAAACUUAACGUGGAAGAAUUGGGUGCUUUGAGCAACUUAGAGGAGCUACAUUUGAGCGGAAAUCAGAUCAUCAAGUUUGAGGCCUUGAGAGGUCUAAGCAAGCUAAGAAAAUUAAUUUUGAACAACAUGACCACAAACGAAAGAAGCCCUUCACUGCUUCAUAGCUUGGGAGCAUUUCCGUACCUCAAGACCCUCCAUCUACAAUACAAUAAUUUCCAUGAAAAAAUAUUUGCUCAAGAGUCAGAGAAUUUCACCAACUUGGAAGAGUUGUUCCUAGACUCAUCUUCUUUGAAUGAAGAGUCCCUUCGAAGUCUUGGAGCAUUGCCUUCUCUUAAACUUUUGUCGUUGGGUUCAUUAAGAGACAACCUACCCCAUCAAGGAUUGCCUAGUUUCAAGAAGCUGGAACAUUUAUACUUGGAUUUUUCUACCAUUAAAAACAACGUCCUGCAUACUAUUUCAAAAAUGAUCUCUCUCAAGACUUUAUCAUUGGUGUAUUGUGGAAUCAGUGGCACCAUACCAGCAACCCAAGGCAUAUGCGAGUUGAAACAUCUCCAAAUGCUUGAUGUCAGCUAUAAUGAUCUCAGUGGUACGUUGCCUUGGUGUCUAGCAAAUCUUACAUCCCUUCAACGAUUGUAUCUCAUUUCUAAUCAUUUUACGGGAAAAAUCUUUCCGGUCGGGGGUUUGACAUCCAUCCAAGAAUUAAAACUUUCGGGCAAUCACUUUCAAAUACCGAUUUCACUUAGUCCAUUUUUCAACCAUACAAGGCUCAAGCAUUUGCAGGGCGAGGAUAAUGAAGUAUAUACAGAAUUAGAGGUGCAAAACUUGAUCCCAAAAUUCCAAUUAGAGACUCUUGUUUUACCUUGUCUUGGCUAUGGCGGAGCAUUUCCCAAGUUUCUCUACCAUCAGCAUAACUUACGAGUUGUUGAUCUCUCACAUAUUAAAAUGAAGGGGGGCUUUCCAUUUUGGUUGUUGGAUAAUAACACAAACCUAGAAGAGCUUUCUUUAGCCAAUAAUUCUCUUUCAGGGCCUCUCCAGCUGCCAAGUCAUCUUCAUAUGCGUUUGUCAAACUUAGACAUCUCCAAUAAUGGCUUCCAUGGGCACAUUCCAAUGGCAAUUGGAGCAUCUUUCCCAAUGUUACUAAAUUUGAAAAUGUCUAGAAAUGGUUUUAGCGGUAGCAUUCCCUCAUCACUUAGUAAUAUUAGCUUCUUAGAAGUUUUGCAAUUGGAUGGAAAUCGGUUUUCAGGAUGUAUCCCUGAUAACUUAUAUAAGUGCUCUUAUUUGGAGAUGUUGGAUGUUAGUGAUAAUCAUCUAUCUUGUAGGAUCCCGGGAUCAAUGAGUAAUGUGUCUUCUCUCAAAGUUUUAGACCUUUCAAGGAACAAUAUUUUUGGAAGUCUACCAUCAUACAUUAACCCUUCUAGCUUGGUACUUGUUUACUUAUCUUAUAAUAGGCUACAAGGGUCAAUAAAAAAUGCAUUUUAUGGCUGCUCUGAUUUAAUAACAUUAGAUCUUAGCCAUAAUUUUUUGACCGGGACCAUUCCGGAAAUGAUUGGUAGUCUUUCUAUGUUGGGCUAUCUUUUCUUGAGUUAUAAUAACCUUGAAGGUGAAAUUCCAAAGCAUUUAUGCAAUUUGGACCUAUUAAGGUUGAUUGAUUUAUCUCAUAAUAAUUUUUCUGGUCCAAUCCUUCCUUGCCUAAGAUGUACUGGGGGUUCUGAUGUUAUAAAUCCAGAAACUGAUGAUGACCGACAACCUUUAGAGUUUACAAUAAAAUGGAGGACAUAUUCUUACCAGGGAAAAAUUCUCAGUAUGUUUUCUGGAAUAGAUCUUUCGCACAACAAACUGAGUGGAGAAAUUCCUCCUGAAAUUGGAGCACUUAGCGGGAUUCAAGUGUUGAACCUUUCCCACAACAAUUUGACAGGACCAAUUCCACCAACAUUCUCAAACCUAAGUGAAAUUGAAAGCUUGGAUCUAUCUUACAACAACUUGGAUGGGAAAAUUCCUCCUCAGCUUAUACAACUAACUUCUCUAGCUGUCUUUAGUGUAGCAAAUAAUAACUUAUCUGGAUCAACACCUAAGAGAGUUGCACAAUUUGCAACUUUUGAUGAGAGUAGUUAUGAGGGAAAUCCUUUCCUUUGUGGACUGCCACUUUCAAUGAGUUGCAGUGCAGCAAUAUCACCAUCACCAUCGCCGAGAGUUUCAACUGUUGAUGAAGCGGAGAGUGGCUUCAUAGACAUGGAUGUUUUCAACGUGAGCUUUGUGGUGGCUUACAUCAUAAUAUUGUUGACAAUAGCUGCAGUUUUGUGGAUAAACCCAUAUUGGCGACAAGCAUGGUUUUACUUUAUUGAGGUGAGCUUCACCAAAUGCCAAUAUUUUCUGGAAGACAAUGUUUAUGUGCUUUUCAAGUUCAGGGUGUGACUGCUAUAUUUUGUUUCUUGUGCAAUUAUGUUGAAUCUUUAUAUAUGAUUUUGCUUUUUAAGUUGGCGAUUAAGUAAAUCCUUUUAAUGGCCAAUCGAAAACAAAAGUCAUGUAAUAUUUAAUGUAUGAGCUCUUGUUGCAAUGAAAUGUAGCUUGUCUUUCAUCUUUG
rnacentral:misc_RNA from 1 species